GACGAACGCUGGCGGCGUGCUUAACACAUGCAAGUCGAACGGAAAGGCCCUGCUUUUGUGGGGUGCUCGAGUGGCGAACGGGUGAGUAACACGUGAGUAACCUGCCCUUGACUUUGGGAUAACUUCAGGAAACUGGGGCUAAUACCGGAUAGGAGCUCCUGCCGCAUGGUGGGGGUUGGAAAGUUUCGGCGGUUGGGGAUGGACUCGCGGCUUAUCAGCUUGUUGGUGGGGUAGUGGCUUACCAAGGCUUUGACGGGUAGCCGGCCUAAGAGGGUGACCGGCCACAUUGGGACUGAGAUACGGCCCAGACUCCUACGGGAGGCAGCAGUGGGGAAUAUUGCACAAUGGGCGGAAGCCUGAUGCAGCAACGCCGCGUGCGGGAUGACGGCCUUCGGGUUGUAAACCGCUUUCGCCUGUGACGAAGCGUGAGUGACGGUAAUGGGUAAAGAAGCACCGGCUAACUACGUG
rnacentral:rRNA from 1 species